rnacentral:rRNA from 1 species
UACAGAGGUCUCAAGCGUUGUUCGGAUUCAUUGGGCGUAAAGGGUGCGUAGGCGGCGCGGUAAGUCGGGUGUGAAAUCUCGGAGCUUAACUCCGAAACUGCAUUCGAUACUGCCGUGCUUGAGGACUGGAGAGGAGACUGGAAUUUACGGUGUAGCGGUGAAAUGCGUAGAUAUCGUAAGGAAGACCAGUGGCGAAGGCGGAUCUCUGGACAGUUCCUGACGCUGAAGCACGAAGGCCAGGGGAACAAACGGG